UGGGGAAUUUUGCACAAUGGGGGAAACCCUGAUGCAGCGACGCCGCGUGAUUUAGAAGGCCUUUGGGUUGUAAAAAUCUUUUUUACGGGAUGAAAAUGACAGUACCGUAAGAAUAAGGUCCGGCUAAAUACGUGCCAGCAGCCGCGGUAAUACGUAUGGACCGAGCGUUGUCCGGAAUCAUUGGGCGUAAAGGGUACGUAGGCGGCCUAGUAAGUUAGAAGUGAAAUAAUAUAGCUCAACUAUAUAAAGCUUUUAAAACUGCUAGGCUUGAGGGAUGGAAGGGAAAGUGGAAUUCCUAGUGUAGCGGUGAAAUGCGCAGAUAUUAGGAAGAAUACCGGUGGCGAAGGCGACUUUCUGGUCAUCAUCUGACGCUGAGGUACGAAAGCGUGGGUAGCAAACAGG
rnacentral:rRNA from 1 species